rnacentral:rRNA from 1 species
AGAGUUUGAUCCUGGCUCAGGAUGAACGCUAGCGACAGGCUUAACACAUGCAAGUCGAGGGGCAGCGGGGGAGUAGCAAUACUCCCGCCGGCGACCGGCGCACGGGUGAGUAACACGUAUGAAACCUGCCCGUAGCAGGGGGAUAAGCGGAAGAAAUUCCGUCUAAUACCGCGUAACAACCCUUGGAGGCAUCUCCUCGGGUUUAAAGGAAGCGAUUCCGGCUACGGAUGGUCAUGCGUCGCAUUAGCUAGUUGGCGGGGUAACGGCCCACCAAGGCGACGAUGCGUAGGGGUUCUGAGAGGAAGGUCCCCCACACUGGUACUGAGACACGGACCAGACUCCUACGGGAGACAGCAGUGAGGAAUAUUGGUCAAUGGCCGCAGGGCUGAACCAGCCAAGUCGCGUGAGGGAUGACGGUCCUAUGGAUUGUAAACCUCUUUUGUCAGGGAGCAAAGGGCGUCACGUGUGGCGUUUUGCGAGUACCUGAAGAAAAAGCAUCGGCUAACUCCGUGCCAGCAGCCGCGGUAAUACGGAGGAUGCGAGCGUUAUCCGGAUUUAUUGGGUUUAAAGGGUGCGCAGGCGGAAUGUCAAGUCAGCGGUAAAAUUUCGGGGCUCAACCCCGUCGUGCCGUUGAAACUGGCGUUCUUGAGUGAGCGAGAAGUAUGCGGAAUGCGUGGUGUAGCGGUGAAAUGCAUAGAUAUCACGCAGAACUCCGAUUGCGAAGGCAGCAUACCGGCGCUCAACUGACGCUCAUGCACGAAAGCGUGGGUAUCGAACAGGAUUAGAUACCCUGGUAGUCCACGCAGUAAACGAUGAAUACUAACUGUCCGGGCAGAAUGAUGUCUGGGUGGUACAGCGAAAGCGUUAAGUAUUCCACCUGGGGAGUACGCCGGCAACGGUGAAACUCAAAGGAAUUGACGGGGGCCCGCACAAGCGGAGGAACAUGUGGUUUAAUUCGAUGAUACGCGAGGAACCUUACCCGGGCUCAAACGACGGAUGGAUGUUUCUGAAAGGAGGCAGUCCUACGGGACAUCCGUCGAGGUGCUGCAUGGUUGUCGUCAGCUCGUGCCGUGAGGUGUCGGCUUAAGUGCCAUAACGAGCGCAACCCCCAUCGCCAGUUACCAGCAAGUAAAGUUGGGGACUCUGGCGAGACUGCCGGCGCAAGCUGUGAGGAAGGCGGGGAUGACGUCAAAUCAGCGCGGCCCUUACGUCCGGGGCGACACACGUGUUACAAUGGCAGGUACAGAGAGAUGCGAUGCGGCGACGCAGAGCGGAACUUCAAAGCCUGUCUCAGUUCGGAUUGGAGUCUGCAACCCGACUCCAUGAAGCUGGAUUCGCUAGUAAUCGCGCAUCAGCCACGGCGCGGUGAAUACGUUCCCGGGCCUUGCACUCACAGGGCGUCAAG